rnacentral:rRNA from 1 species
GACGAACGCUGGCGGCGUGCCUAAUACAUGCAAGUCGAGCGAAGCGGCGGAUGGGUGAGUAACGCGUGUGUAACCUGCCCUUAAGUCUGGGAUACCAUUUGGAAACAGAUUCUAAUACCGGAUACUAAAGGAUGGACCUGCGAUGCGUUAGCUAGUUGGUAAGGUAACGGCUUACCAAGGCGAUGAUGCAUAGCCGAUUUGAGAGACUGAGCGGCCACAUUGGGACUGAGACAAGGGCCAAGCUCCUACGGGAGGAAGAAGGAGGGAAUCUGCCACAAUGGACGAAAGCCUGAUGGAGCAACGCCGCGUGAGUGAAGAAGGUGUUCGGAUCGGAAAGCUCUGGUGUUGGGGAAGCGGUAAUGAACAAGAAAGUCACGGCUAACUACGGGCCAGCAGCCGCGGUAAUUC